GGUUGACUGAUGUAAUGGUUAGCAUGUCAGAUUCUGAUCCAAUAUUCUGGAUAUCUGGGUUCAAUUCCCAGGUCGACCU